rnacentral:tRNA from 1 species
GGCAGAGUAGCUCAGUUGGUGAGAGCGCCGGAUUCAUAACCCGGAGGUCGGCGGUUCAAAUCCGCCCUCUGCUACCA